rnacentral:rRNA from 1 species
UACGAAGGGGGCUAGCGUUGCUCGGAAUCACUGGGCGUAAAGCGCACGUAGGCGGCUUUCUAAGUCAGGGGUGAAAUCCUGGAGCUCAACUCCAGAACUGCCUUUGAUACUGGAGAGCUGAGUCCGGGAGAGGUGAGUGGAACUCCGAGUGUAGAGGUGAAAUUCGUAGAUAUUCGGAAGAACACCAGUGGCGAAGGCGGCUCACUGGCCCGGUACUGACGCUGAUGUGCGAAAGCGUGGGGAGCAAACAGGG